UCUCUUGUGCUCGGGCAUGUACUGUCGCCAGUGAGGUUUCUACCGAGGCACAGUUUUUUUGCUGAUUGCAAAUUAUACAUCCGAACCCGUCUGUUAGCUUCGGCUUUCAGCAAUAUUUGGAAACUCUCCCU
rnacentral:snRNA from 1 species